rnacentral:rRNA from 1 species
AGCGAACGCUGGCGGCAGGCUUAACACAUGCCAGUCGAGCGGGCAUAGCAAUAUGUCAGCGGCAGACGGGUGAGUAACGCGUGGGAACGUACCUUUUGGUUCGGAACAACUGAGGGAAACUUCAGCUAAUACCGGAUAAGCCCUUACGGGGAAAGAUUUAUCGCCGAAAGAUCGGCCCGCGUCUGAUUAGCUAGUUGGUGAGGUAAUGGCUCACCAAGGCGACGAUCAGUAGCUGGUCUGAGAGGAUGAUCAGCCACAUUGGGACUGAGACACGGCCCAAACUCCUACGGGAGGCAGCAGUGGGGAAUAUUGGACAAUGGGCGCAAGCCUGAUCCAGCCAUGCCGCGUGAGUGAUGAAGGCCCUAGGGUUGUAAAGCUCUUUUGUGCGGGAAGAUAAUGACGGUACCGCAAGAAUAAGCCCCGGCUAACUUCGUG